UCGGACGUGGUGUAAUGCAACACGGCCUCUCGUCAUGCGCACGAUGUUGAGUGAUGUGCCAAGGCAAUCCCGGGUUAGACUCCCGGCGUCCGAA